rnacentral:rRNA from 1 species
AGAGUUUGAUCCUGGCUCAGAUUGAACGCUGGCGGCAUGCCUUACACAUGCAAGUCGAACGGUAACGCGGGGCAACCUGGCGACGAGUGGCGAACGGGUGAGUAACAUAUCGGAACAUACCCUAGAGUGGGGGAUAACGUAGCGAAAGUUACGCUAAUACCGCAUACGAUCUACGGAUGAAAGUGGGGGAUCUUCGGACCUCAUGCUCAUGGAGUGGCCGAUAUCUGAUUAGCUAGUUGGUGGGGUAAAGGCCCACCAAGGCGACGAUCAGUAGCUGGUUUGAGAGAACGACCAGCCACACUGGAACUGAGACACGGUCCAGACUCCUACGGGAGGCAGCAGUGGGGAAUUUUGGACAAUGGGGGCAACCCUGAUCCAGCAAUGCCGCGUGAGUGAAGAAGGCCUUCGGG